UACUUACACUAGCCUCCGUGGCCCGUUGUUAUGACGACACGGUCGUAAAUCCGCCAUCUUCCUGCGGCUCGUUGCGACAUGGAGGGAGCGAUGGCAGUGCGGGUGACGGCCGCUCAUACGGCAGAAGCCCGGGCCGAAGCCGGGCGUGAAGCGGGUGAGGGCGGGGUCGCAGCAGCGGCUUCUGUUCCCGGCGGCUUCCUCCGCCUCCCAGCGCCCUUCGGGGAGGAAGAUGAGGAUGACAUACACAGAUGUGGCCGCUGUCAGGUGGAAUUCACUGCCUUGGAAGACUUUGUUCACCACAAGAUUCAGAAGGCCUGCCAGCGGGCCCCUCAGGAAGCCCUGCAUACACCCUCUGCUACCACCACACUCCUGGGCCAGGAGGUGGUGCCAACCGCAGCAGGCCCAGAAGAACCCAUUACUGUGGCCCACAUUGUGGUGGAAGCAGCCUCCUUGGCAACAGACAUCAGCCAUGCUCCUGACCUUGUUGGCAGUGGACAUAUUAAAGAGGUCAUUGUGGCUGCUGAGACUGAGCCAGGGGACGGUGAGAUAGCAGAGGCCUUGGGUAGUCCCAGCCAUCAGGGGAUUGAGCUUGCUGUGGAGGGCGAGCAGGCACAGGCCAAGCUGCUGGUGAAUAAGGAUGGCCGCUACGUGUGUGUGCUGUGUCACAAGACCUUCAAGACGGGCAGCAUCCUCAAGGCCCACAUGGUCACCCACAGCAGCCGCAAGGACCAUGAGUGCAAGCUCUGUGGGGCCUCCUUUCGGACCAAGGGCUCACUCAUCCGGCAUCACCGGCGGCACACAGAUGAGCGUCCAUAUAAGUGUGCCAAGUGUGGGAAGAGCUUCCGGGAGUCUGGUGCACUGACUAGGCACCUCAAGUCUCUCACUCCGUGCACAGAAAAAAUUCGCUUCAGCAUGAGCAAGGAUGUGGUUGUGGGCAAAGAAGAUAUGCCUACAGGGUCAGGUGCCUCCACCGUGGGGACGGUUACAUCUUCGUCAGUGACAGGCGAACCUAUGGAGACGUCGCCAGUGAUUCAUCUGGUGACAGAUGCCAAGGGCACUGUCAUCCACGAAGUCCAUGUCCAGAUGCAGGAACUGCCGCUGGGCAUGAAACCCCUGGCCCCAGAGGCUCCUGGUCCCGAGGAGCUUCCCUGUUCUGGUGAGGGCAGCCGUGAGAACCUGCUACACCAGGCUAUACAGAAUUCUGGCAUCGUUCUCGAGCGAGUCACUGGGGAGGAGAGUACCCUAGAGCCAGCCCCAACCUCUGGGUCUAGUCCACAGGCCCUGGGAGAUGGACCUCCAGAACUGCCACUACUGGAGGUGGAGCAGAUGGAGACAGUAGCCAGUGAGGCCUCCACUGUGCCCAGGACCCACUCUUGUCCUCAAUGCAGUGAGACUUUCCCAACAGCAGCCACCUUGGAAGCUCAUAAGAGAGGCCAUGCAGGGCCGAGGCCGUUCCCCUGUGCACAGUGUGGCAAGGCCUUCCCCAAGGCCUACCUGCUCAAGAAGCACCAAGAAGUACAUGUGCAUGAGCGCCGCUUCCGCUGUGGGGACUGCGGGAAACUGUACAAGACCAUUGCCCAUGUGCGUGGCCACCGGCGUGUCCACUCCGAUGAGCGGCCCUUCCCUUGUCCCCAGUGUGGCAAGCGCUACAAGACUAAGAAUGCCCAGCAGGUGCACUUCCGGACACACCUGGAGGAGAAGCCAUAUGUAUGCCAGUUCUGCAGCCGAGGCUUCCGGGAGAAGGGAUCACUGGUGCGGCAUGUGAGGCACCACACGGGCGAGAAGCCCUUCAAGUGCUACAAGUGUGGCCGAGGUUUUGCUGAGCAUGGCACACUCAACCGGCACCUGCGUACCAAAGGGGGCUGCCUGCUGGAGGUGGAGGAGUUGCUGGUGUCUGAGGAGAGCCCCUCAGCAGCUGCCACUGUGCUGGCGGAGGACCCCCACACUGUGCUGGUGGAGUUCUCAUCUGUGGUGGCUGACACACAGGAGUACAUCAUUGAGGCCACUGCAGAUGAUGCGGAGACCAGUGAAGCUACAGAGGUUAUCGAGGGCACCCAGACAGAGGUGGACAGCCACAUCAUGAAGGUGGUACAGCAGAUUGUGCACCAGGCCAGUGCUGGGCACCAGAUCAUUGUGCAGAAUGUGACUGUGGACCAAGAGGCAGGGCUGGGCUCGGAGACGGCCUCUGCAGACACCAUCACCAUCGCCACCCCUGAGAGCUUGACAGAGCAAGUGGCCAUGACACUGGCCUCAGCUAUCAGUGAGGGUACUGUGCUCACAGCCCGCACAGGCUCAAAUGGCACUGAACAGGCCACUGUGACAAUGGUCUCAUCAGAGGACAUUGAGAUCCUUGAGCAUGCAGGAGAGCUGGUCAUUGCUUCACCAGAGGGCCCGCUUGAGGUGCAGACAGUCAUCGUCUAGCAUGGAGCCUGCGGUUUCCUUUGGGCUGGGGCAGGCGCAGAGGCAAGGACUCUCAGUGCCCACCCAUUCCUACCUGGUCUGGUAGAGAAGACAGUCCAGAAUUUCAGGCAUCCAAAGGAGACUGGCAGGGCCUCAAAUACCCACCAGUGCCCUUGCAUCAGAGCUCCUGCUGGACCAGGACAACACAGUUUGUCCAGAGCCACAACAGGCCCCAGGCUGGACCUCAGAUCCCCAUUUGGACCCGAACCCAGGAGCCUCUGACACCACUUAAUCCACAGGUAAGUCUUGGGGCUGGGUUGAGCUGGAGACUGGAUAGGAACAAGACUUAAAAUUGUUUGCUCAUGCCGUGGAAAACCCAUCAUAGGCUGAGAGCCUGGUGCAUCUCCGGGUGUGAAGGGCUGGACUGACCCAGAGAAUUUAGAAGUGAGGUUUCUCCCAAG